rnacentral:rRNA from 1 species
AUUGAACGCUGGCGGAAUGCUUUACACAUGCAAGUCGAACGGCAGCACGGGGCAACCUGGUGGCGAGUGGCGAACGGGUGAGUAAUACAUCGGAACGUGCCCAAUCGUGGGGGAUAACGUAGCGAAAGUUACGCUAAUACCGCAUACGAUCUACGGAUGAAAGCGGGGGAUCGCAAGACCUCGCGCGAAUGGAGCGGCCGAUGUCAGAUUAGGUAGGUGGUGGGGGAAAGGCUCACCAAGCCAACGAUCUGUAGCUGGUCUGAGAGGACGACCAGCCACACUUGGACUGAGACACGGCCCAGACUCCUACGGGAGGCAGCAGUGGGGAAUUUUGGACAAUGGGCGCAAGCCUGAUCCAGCCAUUCCGCGUGCAGGAUGAAGGCCUUCGGGUUGUAAACUGCUUUUGUACGGAACGAAACGGUUCUCUCUAAUACAGGGGGCUAAUGACGGUACCGUAAGAAUAAGCACCGGCUAACUACGUGCCAGCCGCCGCAGUAAGAC